UACGGCGUCAAUUCGAAAAUGGAGGAUUCUCAAGUUUAACGCUGUACUGGGGGGUCUCAGACUGUGCAGAUCUAGCCUCGGUCUCUUGGAGGAAAAACUGUUGGCGAAGACAGACGUGCUAUUUUUGUCCAGUCCAAGUAUAAAGAAAAAAAAAGAGGAAUAAAAACCGGGAAAAGAUCUUAACAGCUGAAUACAGCAAAAAGAAAGAAAUAUUGUGCGUUUAUAAAGUAAAAGUGUGUUAAGUGCCAAUCUCAAUUGAUUGGCGGUUAGUACCGGCUUAAACUUCGGGCAAUCGUUUGGGUACCUGUCUGAACCCCAAUAAGAAAGCUCGCAACAACAAUUUCCCCGAUAUUAGGGCCUCCGCCCGCGGCAACGGACUUAUGCUCCUCGCCCAACUACAGCUCCGUACCAAAAAUUCCCAGCGCUAGGCCGAGCAGCACAAAGCGGGAGGCGUAAAAGAUCGGCUCAUCAGUCGCUUUGCGGGCGCGAGCCACUUAUGUGUCACGGACCCGCGAUAUAUUGGAGGCCGUCCAAUUCUGCGGAAAUUAUUAAAGCUAUGUAAACGGUCAGCCAAUUUCUACCCGAAAUAUAGAUCUGGGUCUCGACCUAUUUUCGUUUCCCCAUACGAAGUGCCGAGGAGUGCCCAGAUGUGAAGCCGGCGGCAACGACUGUCGUUUUUUUUAUAUCCAUCAGUGUAACCGCUGAUUCCUAUUUUUAUGCUAUAGUGUCAUUAGUGUAAUUAGCUUAGUAAAUUUCUUUUGGUUGUGUUUUUAAAUUCUGUUCGGAAGAAAUAGCAAGUGGAAUGUGUGACAGGGCGAAAGUGAACAACGGUUAAACGGCAGAGGAGAGCGUGAGUUUUUUUUUUUGUAAAAGUAUUUCUCCAGCUUUCGUUUUAGGAACGUUGCCGCAGUCCAUGGAAGCGCUUUCAUCGCUGUUUCAACGCAUUUAUUAAAACAAAUCAAAGGAAGGCCUCAGGGGCUUCGUCGCUUAAGAGAGGCUGUGCGCUCUCCCUUAUGCCCUGCUGGCAACCAUAAGCGCUUACGCCGCGCAUAAGAACCAGCCCUCUUAAGAACAAGGCACAAAAGGGAAGAUGCGAGGCUGGUCGCUCUGACGUUCUUUUAUGCUUUCUACUUGCGGUUGCUUUCGCUAAUGCACUUGAAUAACUGACCUGCCAUAACGAUCGCGGCGCACAGUUUUUACAUUCCCUUUUGCAUA